ensembl:lncRNA
GGGAGAGAGGAGUAAGAAUGAGGCUCUGAGCAGCCCAAACUCCUGUGACCAAGUUCCUGUCCUUCCUCAGAAUUAUUGUUAGCCCUGCAGAAAUUAAUGAAGGAAACCUUAACUAAACUGGAGCCAAGAAGGCCUGCAGGGGGAGCCCUCACACCCUAUCACACAUCGACAAUUACCCCAAACAGGAAGAGACAGAUGCUUGCAUCUUUCACAGAAAGUAAUCCUACUUUCCUACUGCAAGAUUUCUCUCCCUACCUGGGAACGGCCCAGCCAAUGAGAAACACCACAGCUCAGCCAAUGAGAAACACCGCAGCUCAGCCAAUGAGAAACGCCACAACUCAGCCAAUGAGAAACGCCGCAGCUCAGCCAAUGAGAAACACCCCAGCUCAGCCAAUGAGAAACGCUGCAGCUCAGCCAAUGAGAAAAGGCUGCAGCUCAGCCAAUGAGAAGCCGUUGCCACCCUGAACUGUUACUUUGCCCCAAUGGACUUUCUUGAGAACAGUGCCUCCCUGCUCCUCCUUUUUCUCUAUAAAAGCAGCUCCCCUCCUUUGUUUUUUGGAUUUGCUUAUGAUUUCCCACAGCACGCACAUCCAGAAUUGCAAUUCUUUCAGCUAUUCCCAAAUAAACUCAUUUCGAGGGUAAAAUAACAGACGAAUUUGCUUUUUAAAUGGACAUCCCCAAUACUGUGUUCAUGUACUGUUAGUCUCACAUCUGUUAACCAAUAUUCUCCUUGAAUAAACAGAGUCACCUUAACGUUACAGUUAGCUGAAAUUCAAAAUCAAGUAAAUGAAUGACUAAUAUUAAACAAAAGCAAUGAAUCAAAGUAAUGCUUUGUUUUCAAAUGACACCCACUUCCUUAUUCUGAUACUGGGGUGGGGGCUGGCUUGCCCUUGAGAUACGCUUAUUAACUCGCACCUGACACACAAUGCUAACCUGGAUAUAGGGAUGGGGGUUUCUGACUCCACAGUAAUUUACAAGCAGCAACUCAGACAGGAGGAAAAGGUCUGAUGAAGUCAAAUUCACCGAGAAAACCAAGCAGAGACAAGUGAGGGGCAGAGAACAAUAGAAGAAAUGGAAAUGCUAUGAAACACACUCGCCAACACUAAAAAGCCUUGUGCUCUGAGCCUGGGGCCUUCAGGCGGUUGUUCCACGCUACACAGCCCAGCCGCGAAUGUUCAAAGUGAUAUUCUGGCUCAGCAGGAAAAGGUAAAUUGUGUUUACUCUGUUUUAAAAACUAUACUGUUCCCUUUGUCUGCCUGUCCCUGCAGUGAACUCCAGGGUGGUCCCCUACGCACGAGGAGUGAAGCCGCCCAAGAUGUCCCAGGCAGAGGGUGUCCCACCCUCUCCUCUCUGUUAACUCUGCCCUGGAUGUGGUGGAAGGACAUGGCCACGUCUGUGUCAGUGGCCAAAACUGCACUGGACACAAAACACAGAAAGACUCACCAAAAUGUGCUGGACAUGUGAACACAGGAAUGAAUGAAUAAAGAAAGAAAGAAAUGAAUGGACGAAUUUUAAAGUUUUGAUUAAAUGUCUGAAUUCUUCACUGGACUCUCUGUUCUCUCUCUGCUGAUUCCUCCUCCUCAAGGUCCUGUGGCUCCAUUUCUCUUUCAUAAAAUUCCUAGGACCAUUUAACCAUGGAAACAGCCAGGACUGUAUUAAUUCCCUGGAGGGCGGGUGCUCGAAAUCCAGGGGGGGGUCAGGAAAAAAUCUAAGAAAUGCUGCUCGUGUCCUAACUUUUUUUUUAAGUUGUAAAUUGCUGACAUGAUACAAAACCAUAAGGACAAAAGACCCACAGAUAGAAUUAGAGACUGUGGUGGACAGACCCUCCGGUGGUCCCUGUGAUGGUGGCCUCGUGGUGUUCACACCCUUGUGUAGUCCCCUCCCCUUGAGCAUGGGUGGGACCCAUGACUUACUUCUAACCAACAGAAUACGGACCGCAGUUCUCAGAGUGCCUUCACACCCGUUUCUGCUCCCGGGGCACCCAGCAGUCACCCUCCAUCUUGGCAGCAGCAGAGUGACGACUGCAGAUGAAUCACACUACAUGCAUCCAAGCUGGGGCUCUGCCAUAACCACACUUGUGCCCAGCGAUGUAACCCCCCUGAGGCUCAGUUUCCUCAUGUGUAAAAUGGGGACAAUAGUAGCUACCCCAUCACGUUGUUAUAAGGAUUAAAUAAAGGAAAUAUUUGAAAUGUGCUUAGCACAGUGCACAGCACACAGCAAGAGCUCAAUAAAUGUUUGUUAUUUAUGCAUUCCUUAUUUACCUUCCGUUGUCGUGACUGGACUGGAAAGUCCAGGAGGGCAGCAGUGGUCUGUCUGGCCCACUGUUGCAGAACCUUGAACAUGGGGUGGAUCCAGGAGUAUCUGUGAACAAAUGAGGCGUCUCACACCAUCCUCCUAGCGACUCUGUGAGGAAGACAGAAUGGGGAUGAUUUAUUCCAAGAUAAGAAAAUGGCUUGAGAGAUGUUAAAUUCUUGUCCAGUACCCCCGAGGAAAUGAGGGAUAAAAUGAGGACCAUCUUACUCCCAAACAAUCUUCUUUAUAUUUCCCCACUGCCUUAACUACAACUCUAACGAAGUUAAUUUGACACAUAUUAAGGAUAAAUGUAAGUGUUAGCCUCCAGUACAGUAAUUAGGCUUAAACGGAAACAAUUCACACAAACGCACAUAAUUAGCACUGUGUGUACACAGUCGAAGCUUGUGUUUCUGGAAGCAUUUGAGAGAAGGUGUGAUUCUUUGGUGAAUGAGAGAGGCAGAAAAGUGUUUGCUUUUUCGCCUUAAACUCAGCAUGGACUGAUGUGGCUUAUGAGUGGCUCUAAGGGAACAGGAGUUUUGAACUGUUCUGGGGUUAAACGGCUUUUGAGGGGUUAGGACAGACCUCAGUGGGUGCCAAAGUGGGGUCAGGCUCGGAACUGUGGGACAGUGGGCGAGGGACCUUAUGCUUGAGACAGAGUGGAAAGGGGCUGAAGGCAAUUCUCCCUGGUCUGACAUAUUCCUCUGGGCCUGUCCUGCCUUCUCUCCUGCCCAAAGGCCAAGGCAACUGUCCUCUCACCCUUGCUGAGUCUCUCUACGGCCCAGCCCACAUCCCUCGCCUGGUUCUGCCCUGAUCAAGGAGGUGGGUGUUCAGGACAGGGAGAUGGCUGGGUCGUACCCAGGGUGAGCAAAUUCAGCACAGGUCCUCGAGCAGCUGUUUCUCAGCAGAUUCUCAGGAAUUGUUUCUCUGUCUCUCCGGGUUAAGGUGAGGGAUCUGAAUCUGCUUCAGGGUUUGGGGAGACAAUUCUGAGAACCCCAACCCGCCUUGUGGUGAUCCUGGAGGAGAGACUGUAUGGAUGAAGGGUCGACUGCAUGCCUAGGAUUUUAAACCUGCUUCACCCCAAGCCCGGCGGUGGGCUUCAUAAUAAAAGCGGGUUAUAGCAACAGUAGCCUCAUCCACUUUCAUUCCAAGACCAUUUUAAUUAAUUUUGUUGUGAGAGGAUGUGACAGCCUGGGAAUAUGUUUAGCCAGGAAUCAAUUUGUUUCAAAUCCACUAACACUCCUCCCCCAAAGUGGACACACCCCCCUACUGUCAGGUCAGCCCUUUCUCGGCUGGACGGACCCUCCCUUCCUCCGCCCACUCUCCCAGCUACUGAGCUUGAAACUCCACUUUCCUCAGAGGGAGCUGAGGCACACCCAGCCUGCAGCUGAUCUGGCAAGAUGAGGAUGAGCCCUCCAUCCAGAGGAGGCGAUGGGAAUCAGACAGGAGCUGCUGCCCGGUGCUAGGGGAGGCUGGAGAAGUGAGUCAAUGCUGUUUUCAGGAAGGGACAAGACAAGCAUCAAAUGACAGUGCUACCACAGAGGUCAGGGUGGGGCCCCAGGGAAAGACAGGUCGGUUACCGGCUCCAUGCAUGGGAGCUCCCCACAAGCACUGGGUCAGUUACCACUGCCCACAGACAUGGACGCGAGAGCAGAGUGUACUCUUUUUGCAUCAGCCCAAGGCAUUUUACUCCACUUAAAUAUCUGCAAUACUAGUUAACAACAAGAAAAAAUGAAAGCAUCAAUUUUUAGGAAGGGGAAGAGAGGGAUAUUUGCAAUGCAAAAAUCAAACAAACCCAAAAUUCCAAAAAGUUCUCCAGAUUAUACUAGGGGUAGAGAAAAAUUCUUCUGACUUAGUGAAGGUAUUCAAUAUCUGUGAAAGUGAAGCCCUUUAUCACAGAUGAUACUCAGAGCUGCCACAGCACCCUGCCCCAUGCUUACGUGCUUUAGGUAACUGAUUUUCUACUGCGACUGUAGGAAGCGAGUCUGAACACAAGCCCAAUUUUACAGAUGAGGAACCAAACUCAGGAAGCCAUACCAUCCUCUCAUCCUCAAGGUGUGGUAUAAACAGGUGUCUUGGUCCCCUGUCCUAACACAAGAGAUGCAGGCAACUUCUUCAGCAAUGGCCACAAGUGCGCACUCAGCAAGAACUGCUCGAAGGCUUUGGAGUGAGAUGCGCCAACAUCACUGCCUAACGAGGGGACGCCCGCAGCCUUCCUGAGCUUCACUUUUCAUCUAUCAAAAAUGAAGAUCAUGGGGCCAGCUCCGCGGCAGAGCAGUUAAGUUGGCGUGCUCCGCUUCAGCGGCCCAGGGUUUCACGGGUUCAAAUCCUGGGCGCGGACACGGCACCGCUCAUCAGGCCACAUUGAGGUUGUGUCCCACAUGCCAUAACUAGAAGGACCCACAAAUAAAAUAUACAACUAUGUACUGGGGGGAUUCGGGGAGAAAAAACAGGGGGGAAAAAAAGAUUGGCAACGGUUGUUAGCUCAGGUGCCAAUCUUAAAAAAAAAACAAACAAAAAACACCAGUGAAGAUCAUAAUCCCCACACCCUCCCUACCUCCCAGAGACCAGAGAAUGUACCGUCAGAUGCUACGCCUAGGCUGCUUGGCUCUCCGGCGUGGGUGACAGGAGUGGGCCCAGUGUGCUUGACGUGGUGGAGUCACCCAAGAUCCGGCAGGGUGGAGGUCAGGGAAUGAAAAUGAGGCCUUCGGGGCAGGUUCUCUCACUCUCCUGCCUCUCCCCCUGCCCUCUAGCCCCUGGGAGGCCUCAGCCACUUCACUCCACCAACGCCCCCUUCGUAAGAACCUUCCACCCAGUCCAACUCUGUUAUCUGUAACAGACUCCUAAAUAUGCCGCGUGCAUUCCACAUUUGGCUAAUGCCAUUCCCUUCAAUUUACCUUUACUUUCUCUACAAAUGUCUCAGACCCUGGCUGCUCUCCCAGGCUCAGAUCAAAUCCAUUCCACUUCCACAAAACUGUCUUGGUCUCCAGCCCCAUAAGCCCCUGAAAUCCCAAACAUUUACUAACCUGUUACAUUCCCCAGUUGGCCUUUAGGUAUUCUGCACUCCACAGCAGUCCUACAACAAUGCAGGUAUGCAUGCAUUCGCCCAUCCAUCCAUGCAUCCACCCAUCCAUGCAACUACUCACCCAUCCAUGCAUCCACUCAAUAAAUAUUAUCGAUCACCUGCCAUAUGCCGGGUACUGUCCCACCACUUCCCUUGUCCAUUCUCUUCCCAUCUCCAAGAUGACUAUUUCCCACCUCCUACUCUCCCUCAAACCUCUACCACUCACUCCCUCAGCAAUCUCACCCAGUCUCAUAGCAUUAGGUACCACCUUAGUCACUGAGACCCGCCCUGACCUCUCUCCUACACUCCAGGUUCCAACACCCAAUACCAUCUCCACUUGGGUGUCUAACGGGCAACUUAGUGUAGCCAAAUCAGAACUCCAGAUCCCACAAAAAACCCUAUGGCCCGCUUCUCCCAGUUUUUCCCAUCUCAGUAAAUGAUUCACCCAUCUGUGCAAGCCACAAACUUCGGAGUCAUCUUUGUCUCCUCUUCGUUUUGCUCCAUCCCGCCAUGUCCAUCCAGCAGCAGACUAUUGGCUCUACCUUCAAAACCUGCUGCCUCUCUGCCCUCCACACUACAGCGCUAGUCCAAGCCCCUGUGGUUCCAGUGGGACAAGACAGCCUCCAGUAGGUCGACCUGCUGCCACUCUUGGCUCUGUAUAUUCUUUGCACAACAGCCAGAGUGAUAGUUUUAAAACACAAGACCACGAGAGAACCCUCCAAAGGCCGCUGAACAUCCCCUAUUGGAUUUCCUGCUACGUCCUCAGGGCAUACAAGCCCUCCAUGAUCCGGCCUCUGCCCGACUUCACCUGUUGCCACUCGCCUCCACCCUCACUGGCUUGCUUGAAAAUUUGUCAAAUGCACCAACACAGGACCUCUGCCCUGGUGGCCCUUCUGCCUGAAAAGCCGCCGCUCCCCUCAAUGACUUACCCGCCUGCCUGGCACUCCUCUCCCUCCUACCCCUUCAGAGCACUUAUCACAACCUAACAUUGCUUUAAAUAUUUAUUUUGUUCAUUUUUCACCUGUUUCCUCCAUCAGAAGAUCAACUCCACAAAAGCAAGGAUUUGGCUAUUUGGUUUGAUGCUGUAUUCCCAAUGCUAAAAUAAUGCAGAGACAGGGUCGGGCCCAGUGGCUGAGUGGUUAAGUUCACGCACUCCACUUCGGCGGCUUAGGGUUUGCCAGUUCAGAUCCCGGGUGUGGAGCUAUACGCCACUCAUCAAGUCAUGCUAUGGCAGCAUCCCACAUACGAAGCGGAGGAGGAUUGGCACAGAUGUUAGCUCAGGGCCAAUCUUCCUCUCCAAAAUAAUAAUAACAAUAAUGCUGGUACAUAGCAAGGACUUGAUAAAUAUCUACUGAAUGAAUGAAUGAGUCCUGCCUAGUUGUUUCCUUACUAGAUAUGUCUGAUCUCCCCUCACCUGAGGUUGAGCAGCCUAUGACCAGGGGCAGCAUCGUGUUCAUCCUUUCACCUUCCUACGCCUCCUGGCCCGGGAGCCAGUUACAAGAGCAGGUACAGGCCUGGGAAUGACAAUCAGGCUGCACGAUCAAUGGGAAGUGCUGCCUGGCAUGAUGUGACGAGAAGGACCCGGAGGCCAGUCUAGGUAUAGCAUUAUCGAUUUCUGAUGUGGGCCAAGGGCCGGAGGUGGGAAAUAAAAGUGCAGUCUUUGGGGCUGCCAAGCCUGUUAACCCGGGGAUCCUUGAGGCUGGAGAGAAAGCUGAAUUGGCAGGGAAGGGCAGGCCAGUCCUGGCCAGUCCUCAGGUUUGGGAAGCUAAGGAGAUAGGCCACUAACCCACAGGGCAGCAGAUGCCAGUGGGCCCCAGGAUACCAGGUGAUGCUGCCCCAUCAGCCCUCCGCCCCUGGAGAGACCCUCAAGCCCACCAUCUCGGCCAUUACUCCACAGCACUUGUGGCUCAUGCAAGACACAGAAGCUGAGGGGAGCAGCCACUGAGCUAAAUGUCUCUCAGACCUGGGGACAGAGGCAGAAAUGGCCCCACAUAACUUAGAGUGGGCCACUUUGGCCUUUUGAUGUGACUCUUGGCAUCUGAUAAGAGUUCCACAGACACUUAUCCAGGAGGUCUAGCCACUCCUUCCUGCAGGAGACCAGCCUGGAUGUAACAGGAGGGGCAGGCCCUGGGGUGUUCUGCACAGCCAUGCUAUCCCCUUGCUCCCAGCCCCCCACCAGGCACAGAAACAGUCAAGCUGCUGGGGCACAUGCCCUACAUCCCCCUAACCUGGGGCCACCACACUGCCACCUGCUCCUCCCUGCCAGCAGGGUGAACUCCCAGAAGGCCCUCCCUUGCAGUCUCCAUCCUGGCCUGCAGCUCCCUGGCUGGACAGUGCUCCGGCCAGCAGGGGGGCUCGUGGUCACUUGGGGACAGGAAGGCUGAAACCCCUUUUCCUGUUCUUCUCUUUCAAAGUUGGCAGACCUGACCUCUUUCAUAACAUUAUUUUAGUGACCGAAGCACUUUUGCAUCUGAGAUUUUCCGCAACCACUUUGUGGAGCUGGUCUCAAUGGCCCCACUUUCAGGAAAUGGAGGUAUUUGCUCCCUUCUCGCAGUGUAAGCAGCGGCAGGAAAGCCAAAGGCCCCGUUUCCACGCCCAGAGGAGCGAGCCCUCCCGCACCCACGACAGAGCUAGGAAGAAAGAACCAGCCAUGCAAAAGCCAAAAAAGGAACCCUUUCUCUCUCCAGAGAUUAUGAAAUCAAAGAGCAUUUUGUUGCUUCUUGGAAAUUACUCUCCUUAUGACUUGGAGGCCACACAAUUCAACAGGGCUUCCAUCAUCAUCAUCAUCAUCAUUAUUAAAACAUUUGGUUUAGUUCUCGCCUCCUUUUCGAACUUUCACACAGAGAACACAAGCGUUUACCUGCGCUCACCCAGGACCGGACGAGCAGGUCGCGCGGGCUUCCAGCCCCCUCCUUCCCGGGGCUUGGCUGCAAGACUCCCGCAACAUCUCGAAAUCCCCCCAGAUCUGCGCGGUCACUGUGGGAAGGAGGCCGGCUCUGACAAGCCCAGGCAAGCCCAGGCAGAGCCCGCUUCUGGUCCUCCCUCCUGCGCUCACCACCCGGGCCCGGGGAGGGAGAAGCCUCUCGCCCGCCCAGAUCCGGGGAGUCAGCUCGCACCCGGGACGGGGCGCCGGCAUCUCCUCCACCAGAAAAGAAAAAGGGCCAGCCACACCGGCCUCUUGCUGAUGUUGGAACAUACCAAGGAGUCCUCUCCUCCUCCCUGAAGCCAAAGAGACAGCACUAGGCCCCUGGGGGCUGACAUGCACCAUCAUUAGUCACCACCUCCUCAUCACCACGCGCAGUGAGAACCAGAGGCUGUAACCAUCAAGCCAGUUUCCAUCCCGGGCCCCCAGGUCAACAUCAGAGAUAACCACAUUAUUCUAUUGAUUAAUCAGAAAGAAGAAAAAAAAGGAAAAGUAACCCAUGCCAGUAGGAAAUGUGGAUUGUUCUAUGGAAGAGAGGGUCAUCCAUUGGAGUGUGGGUUGAAGAGAAUUCCAAACCUGGGCUUUGCGAUCGUGGAGCAGGGAAUGCUGUAGAAACGCCAAGGACGGCUGGGGCCCUUGCAAAACAGGGCAGAUGUUAAAGAGACACAGUAAUUGGUGGACUGGGCUGUCCAUCUAAGGCAUCCAGAUUCCUGGCUGAAAGAUAUAAGGCACUCACAGGACUUCUUUGCUGGAGCCGUGUCUCUUCCACUUGCCUAGAGGGAACACCUUGGGAGAGCAGCCACUUUCGGCCUCCAGGGACCUGAAGAAGCCAAGAAAAAAAGCAGUUAUGAAAAGCAAACCAAUUCCAGGGCCAGUUGCACAGGAGGUGGCUUGGAGACCUGGCAGGUCUGCUCAAGUAUCCCUCAGCAGCCUUCACUCCAAAGCGGGAUUUUGCUAGUAGGAACCUCUCCUUCGAGUCAAGGCACUACAGUCUUCAGGAAAUGGCUGAGAGGAGCCUGUGCCUUCCAGGAGCUUAUGUGCACUUGGAUCCCCAAUAGAAUUUGCAAACUUCUAAGGCAGAAGAGAGGGACGAGAUGGCUCAGACACGACACAAUGUGGCGCUCAGGCUGAGCAGAGGUGCUCAGAAGAGGUUCAUUGGUGACCUGAGGUGCCUCUGAACCUACGGGGUGGCCUGGGAGGCCAUCAGGGUGAAGACGAGCAUCAGAGACAAGCUUGGCCCAUUUCACAAUGCUAUCACGAACCAGUCUUAUCUUACUCCUCCCGUUUUGAAGGAAAAAGAAAUUUGUACUUUAAAAAAAAAACAACACUUAUGCUUGGUUCACUCCCUGUUGUGAAAUAAGCACUUAUUUAUUACACUGUUGUGAAAUAAGCGCUUAUUUAUUACACAGAAGGAAGCCUGAUAUCCCUGAGACCUUGAAUGGACCAUUUACAACCUUUGGGCCGCAGGGCAAGGGGACCUUCAGACCACAAAGGGGCGAUGCCUUGCGGUGGCAGGGCCCUUCAGGAGGCAUGAGAAACCCAGGCUACGGCCAUGUCUUAGCGGACCUGGGAGUUUACAAAGUGAAGAAAUAUCAAAACAGGGUUAGAAAAAUGCACAUUUUAAACAUUUAAAAUUUAAAAACAGAACGCUUUUAGCGCACACACACAAUCCAAAUACAAUAGAAUCGUGCUGUUUACUAGAAAUGGUGUAAAAAAUCUGAAGGCCCUUUUUGGACAAGAAGUUCAGGCCAAACACCCCACCCCCCAGCAGAGAGACCCUGAAGCAAGAUGCCCCAAGAAAGCGAGCACCAGGCCUUCAGCGGGCCCUGCAACAGGACCCUGAGCCCCAGGACUGGAUGGGGCAACUAGCGAUGCUUCUAAACUCAAGUGAGCCAGCACCCUGGCCCAAUCUCCAAGUGUCCACUCUUGACCAGGACUUGGCUCAAAGAGGAAGGAGGAAAAGGCAGAACUGGGACCGUCAGCUCUAUCAUUGAGAAGUGUCCCCACGCCUUGUUGCUUUGCCACCCUUCUGUCACACAGUGAAAUGCUGUUGAUUUUUAAAGGCAGGGACCAUAUCCUGUACUGUUCGUACCUACUCGCAGCCCACAUUCUCACAUCAGUGGAUGCCCAAUAAAUGCUUGUUGGGUUGAACCGAAUUAUCAAGAAGGUACCAUCAAGAAUUCUUUGGGGGGCCAGCCCGGUGGCACAGCAGUUAAGUGUGCAUGUUCCGCUUCUCCGUGGCCUGGGGUUCGCCGGUUCGGAUCCCAGGUGCGGACAUGGCACUGCUUGGCACACCAUUCUGUGGUAGGCAUCCCACGUAUAAAGUAGAGGAAGAUGGGUACGAUGUUAGCUCAGGGCCAGGCUUCCUCAGCAAAAAAGAGGAGGACUGACAGUAGUUAGCUCAGGGCUAACCUUCCUCAAAAAAAAAAAAAAAAAAAAGAAUUCUUUGGCAAAUCUAAUGAUUUUACACUGCCAGAGAGUCAAAAAGCUAUAGGUUGCCUAUGGUCCCAUUUGAGACGACCCUUGUCAAAUUUCUUGGUUAACUUUCUCCACUCCUGUCGAGUCAACCUAAACACCACCUACAUCACCACAAGGGGUCUGGGAGCUCCCCUGCUCUGCAGCAAUGACCUCGACAAGCAUUUGCUGUGUACACACGAACAUGUACAACACAGCCUUGUACUGCCCUAAACUGGAAGACUAAGGAGUUAGCACCUGUAUGGUCUACAUAAUCUACGAAACAAGAGCAAUCGAUAAAACGUAUUCUACCAUGGAGAAGAGAGAUAAUCUCAUGAUACAGGAAAACAGGCUGUCUUCUGGAUAAUGGCAGAAAUUCCCCCCGAGUAGCUGAAGGGUCUGAGCACACAGCAUUUUAGCUUCAAGGGUCUUCAAAUCGGUUCUACUCACAACACCAAAUCAAUGUUAAACAAGAGGAACUGUUUGGGAGGAAAGAAGGAACUCACUGGGCACAAAAGUCAGCUGAGAUUCCGAAUAGAAACCCCCAAACAAGGACAGAAAGGCAGACCACCAAGGAGGAGGCUGGUAGGAAAGAAGGGGACCAAACCCAGUGGCUGAUCCAAAGGUCUGGGUUUGCGACCAUCCUUCUGUAACACUCCUCAAGCAAGAGGCAGGCACAAGGCCCAACCCGAAACCCAAAGGUGGCCUGAAGACCUUGCAAAUGGACCAGAAUGCUCAGGUCAGCAUUGCUGGUGGCCCAUCCCAAUUGUCCUUUGGUACCCUGUUCAAGGAUGGCCAGCCUUCCCUGGGAAUAUUGCUAAAUUUCCUCAGAUAACAGAUGUACAAACGACGCAUCAAGCCUACUCAAAGAAAGGAUGACAAUGAAAGCCACAGCGCACCCCUGUAGUGUGUUCAACAGAACUUUAUAAGAGGCCAAAAUGAAAUGUGGAGUGACCUAGGAGAUGACACACAUCCUGAAUGGCAAGGAAAUUUCUAAGUAAACUUUCUGUUUUUACCAGUUGAAAAUUCUUCUGCCUGAACGCAUGGAACUAAAUAAAGCUAAAACCCGGGCUCUGCAAACCACCCAGCUGGGCAGGGAUCACUGGGUCUCCUUCCUGCGUCCUCUGGAGCCCUCUGCUGGAGAAAUUCUGAAUUACAGCACUAAUAACCCACCCGGGAGCCCCCAGACUCAAGGGGCCCGGAUUUCUGAGAAUUGAAAAGAGGAACAACUAUAAGGAAGUCCCAUGUUUUCUCCUCUUGGGACUUUGUGCAGUGAGAGUUGUAAACCAGAGGUGCUGCAAACCUGCUCAAGGGCACUGUUCAGAUCUCAGAGCAGAACUACCUGACGUCCUGUAAAUUAUGCCUCUGGUUCUUAACACCCCAGGUCCGUGUCACCUCCCAGUGCCCAAUUUCCUUACCUUGUCCUACUUCACCUGAGUUGGGGCGCCUGAUGGGUCCAGGGCUGAUGAUUUCAUCCUUGUCCCACAUGCCAGGUCGGAACAUUUUCCAGGGACUCCCAGGUCUGCCCUGAGCGUCCCAUGUCCUUGGGCAAGUCAGUUAAUCUGUGAGCCUCACCAUCCUCAUCUCUGACUCUGGGCCUUGGACCAGAUGAUUUCUAAGUAUCUUGCAUUUGUGGGGUUAAAGUUCACAUGCACAAAAGGAAAGACAGGUUCUGAUCCUUAGUCAGAUCUGCAGAGAAUGAGAAUAGCUGAGAAACUGCUGACUCUGCAUUGGGCGAAAAGCAAAAACAGUCCAUGGGGAAGUGUCAUGGGUCAGGAUCUGGCCCUGGAGCCCUGGGAUCCCAGCAGCACCUGGAGCCUUUUCCUGCCCUCCCCCACCUGCCUCCCUGGUACUCCUUGUCUUCGGGAUUCAGGGUGCUGCCACCUUGCCAAGAGAGCAUCACCAGUGUCCCAUUUCCAGUCGAUGCCCAGGCCCAUCAUUUGUUCUCAAGGCUCUCACCUUUUCUUAUGUCUUAGUCCCCGGAGAAGCCACAGGGACUUGGCUGGCCAGUUGGCUCUGCCUGGAGGGUGCAGGCAGUCCCCUGGAGAGCGGCCUGUCCCCAUGUCCUUGGCAGGAAGACUGGCAGCCGCAGUGCUGUGCCUGUCCCAGGUUGAACAGGAGGGCUCCUGGUGUCAUUCUGGACAGGCCUAAAAAACUAAUGACAUCAGCACAGAGCAGGGUCUGCAGGCCCCACGACCCCUGCCAUCCCCUGCCCCUUCUCCGCUUCGACCUCCCUCCUCCUCCCAGCGCAAUGCAGGCUCCCAGGGCAGCCUCCAAGGUGAAGACACUAACGCGAGCGAUGGGAAGAAGCGGCCGCCAGUGCCAAGGCUGUUCCUGUGGAAGUCCAAGGUCCAGGUCAGUGAGAGGCAACAGUCUCUGAACUGUGUCACACCCGUGAACAUCCCCAGAAGAGCAGGCUCCUGUGCGCAGCGUGACAUCACUUCCCAUCUUGUCGGGAGACAGGGCUUCUGCCAAGGAACCAGCCCCUGGGGACAAGUCGGGCAGCAUUUUCAUGCUGCUGGCAUAAUUGAGACCUGCACCAGAGGCUGCUAUUCAGGGCACAAGGUGCAGUCUGGACCCCCUGGGGCUGCUCUCUCUGUCCCUAGGCCCCUGGCUCCUGCCACCUAAGCCCCUCACAUCACCCAGGAGGGUCAGCAGCUACUGCACCCCACCCACAUUUGCUGGCUCAGCUUCCCUCUGCAGGGGAAGCUGGACUUCCUCUGGAUCCAACCUUAACCUUCCACAACUAACUCCAUGACACUGGGGACAAAACCUUCUCCCACCGCCUUUGUACCCCAAACUGUCUCCAUAGGCUUUCCCAGGAAUCCUGAGUGGGAGCAUUCAAGGGUGUGGUCCCAGAGGGUCCCUUUGCCCUCACCCAAGAGGAUGCCUGAGUUGGGAAUCCUUUCCUUACCCCCCAACUGGAAUGGCAGCCCCGCUUUCCAAACUGGCGUCCACGAUUCAGAGUAGGAAGUCCAAAGCCAGGGCCCUGGACACGGCUUCCCUGGGUUCCUCGCAAAGCCUUCACCCUCCUAACCCUUCCGAGGAGCUGCACAUCUUGUUCUUCUCCCGAGGUUCCCAAAAAUCACGCCCCACACCUGGUGGGUGCUCCAUACAGAAGCAUUUGAGAAAACGGCCCGUCCAAGGAUGCCCGCCCGAAGGCAGUCGGUACAAGAGCUCCGUUUGUCAUCCUUCGCGCCGUGGAAGACUGCCUCCUGCCCCAGCCCUCAACUCCGGUGAAGUAGAGUCGUGAAGAAAUCGUUGUAUAAACAAAGCCAGAGUCUCACUCACGCACCAAUCAGGGACGGGGUCCUGUCUCGGCGCGGGCUGCGCGCAGCCGCCGGGAGGUGGCCGUCGGGACGUGAGCGCGCCGCCGGCAGCCCGGAGCAGUGGUGCAGGGCCCCUGCGCCGCCCGCCGCUGCAGCCCCGCAGCCGCCAGCACUGCUGACUUGGCCCAGGAGGGCGGGGGAGGGCCCGCAGCAGCUUGGGUUCCAACUGUCCCUGCGCAAGGAGACCGAAGAACCGGCAGCACGGGCUCAGCUGGCCAAGGCUGGGGCAGUUGAUGGGGUGCGAGAGGAGAGCGCUAGAGCAGCCCUGAGUCAGCACUGGUGCAUUGCGAGGUGCCCAGGAGCCUCGGACCAAGACCUACACCCCGCUCCGUGCCCCUCCAGCACACCCUCACCUAAUGCCAGGACCAGGCCCGCCUCAUUUUCUCCCCUCAGCAAUUACUGGAUAAUAAUAAUGUGCCCUGCAGCAAGUACUCUGGGGGAUGGAAAGAUAGAGAAUUCUUUUUAAAGACCUAUCACCGCCUAGAUGUUAUUGUGGGGCAGGCACAAGGCCAUGGGGAUCUGACCUGCGGACAGCCAGGGGAAAAUCUUGUCCUCACUGCCCAGUGGUUCUGACAUGGGAAUAGCAGGGUGUGGUGGUUGUCAGCAAUGCGUUGGAUUUUCUGCCUGGCAUGACCUGGGAAAUGCUGGCCCCUCGCCGUCCAGGGCCAGCUCUUGCCUUACCAGCUCCUCCCAAGCUGGCUUUCCUGUUCUGUGGCCUGAGAGAUGAGGGCAUCCAGGGGCCUGCAGGGGCGGAGGCCCUCCCUCCGCCUAUCCACCCCUGAGGGUCUGUGUCACCUUGGCUGCUUCUUCCCCGGCUGUCUUGAGUGGUCCCUUUGGUCCAGACAGCGCCUGCCUGAGGGAAGGAGCUGGGAAACUUGUGGCAGCCUCUCGUUCAGCUCAUCCUGGCAGUGUGUGCAGUUCAUUUCACAAGCUCCAGUGACGUCACAGCGCUGGGCUCAGGGGUCACCUGCUCCCCAUCACAGCACAUUUGUGAAGUUCCUGUCUCACCUGACCUCCCCAUAGGGGACCAGAGACCAGUGGACAUGGACAGGAUGCUGGGGGCCAACAGCAGCAUUUGCUUUGCAGUCAUUGACAAGAGGUCUUUCUCUUGGCUAAUUCCAGAUAUAAAGGAAUUAAUUCCAGAUAUAAAGGAUGAUUAUUUGUCAUCCGGGCUGGGUAGGGAGGCACUGAGUGGGAGAUGAGUGUGCUUGGGCAUGCCAGCCCUGUCCUCCAGCUCCCCAGGGUGGCAAUGCCAUGACACCUCCAUCCUACUGAUGAGGGGAGACUCAUCGUUUGUCCAAACGGCACAUCCUAGCAGCUUCCUAGAGUCGGGGGUCAAGCUCUGCCUGAUGCACACAAAUUCACAGAUAUCACGUGGUGCUGACCUCAAAGACCCCAGGGUGUGGGACCCUGAUGACCUGUCUGGGUGCACUGGACAUGAAAUCUUUCACAUCUAAGGAUGGUAGUCUGAAAAAUUAGAGUUCCGCAUAACAUUCAGGGGGUUCUGCAAACACCCGCCACAGAUUUACGAGCAGAGGUCAAAGAUGGUUUUAAAUAUACAGGGAAUGUAUAAAAAAAUGGGUGGAUCAAGACAAAGGGUUGUGAGGGACAGAAUGGGGACUGCGAAAGUGGCAAGUAGAAAGACACUCCUAAUUAGGGAAAUAGGGGUUGCCUCUCCUAAAUCCUGUAGGGCUCUCCCAGUCUAGGCAACUGUGUUGUCUAAGACCCUAUAAAAUAUUUGUCUAUGAGCCCGCAUUUCUCCAAAUGGCUACGGAAGCUUUGAUUGGAGCACCUCUCACGCCCCAAGGAGCUUCAACACCAGCAGCCCCAGGUGGAGUACAGGCACGGUUCUCUCCAGAUGAGCCUUCAAGUCUGGCUCUACAGCAAGGACCAGAACACAGUGCAGGAACCCAAGGAGGUCACGGUGCAUCGCCAGCCUCGGCCCAGUUGCUGUUUCGGGGCCUUGCCUGGAUAAUUUAUCUGAGGGGUUUGCUGCACACCCUUCAAGCUGAUUUAUUGCAAGACCGAAAGUGGUUUUUUUUUGGUAAAAAGACACAUUUUUGCUUGAGAAGGAAUUUUGAGGAGCUCAGCCCUUCCAGUGCCUGGGACCACCUGGGUAGAUGCCACGUUGGUCCUGCAUAACGUCACCCCCAGUGCAGACCUGGAUCCAAGCACGGCCUGUCUGGAAAUGCCAUGCCAGCAGUGCCAGACUGGGAGCUCUUCCAGGAGGCACCUACUGAGGCAGCAACUGGCUUUGGGGCAGCCCUUUUGCCAGGUGGGGGGGAGUCUGGUCCCAGAGACCAGGGCUCAGGGGCCUUGGGCUGUUUGUGCCUUUCCCCAAAACAAGCUGCUGCCCAAAGUGAGCUUUCUGCUGCCUCUGCGCAAUCUCCAUCUGAAUGAGCCCCUUAUGGAGCACACCCCCAACUGCCUGGCGUCCCAGGCACCAUCAUUCAACACCUACUACUAACACAGAGGAAAUUCAUCCCUUCUGAAAUGCUGCAGCCUCUGCCCCCAUAGUCACAAGUCAAGUCCUUGUUUUGAGUUUCCCUCCAAAGCUCAUCUCAUUAAACCCAAAAAAAAGAAAACCUCCACCCCCAAUUAAUAAGGCAGUGAAGACUGCGUCUGUGUUCCCAGAGUUCAAGGCAGACUGGAAAGAUCACAGUAGAGAUCAGACCCGAAUUCUCCAGCCCAAUUCCACAGGGCUGAAAAGAGCCAGUAACCAGACAACGCACGCACCAAGGCAAGGACCAAGCUUAAACUCCUCAGUAAGUCUGUGGAGUCCCCCGCCCCAAGCAUGUGGGAGAGGGAAACCAACCCAAAGUAAGGUCCUGAUUGCGUUUGGAUAUUGCCUGGGGCUGAGCGCUCCCCAGUCCGAGGUACCCAACGGGCUGACCCCGGGAGUGGGUAUCCCUUCCUCUCUCCUCCUCCUCCUCCUCCUCCACAUACUCCUCCUCCUCCUGCCUCCUCCCCAUGCUGCUGCUGCGGUUCUGCAGUCACUUGAAGGAGAAAGAUUUCGCAGUACGGCAUUCUUAAAGCUGCAGUGUCCAAAUUCUCCUUCAAACCCCAAGUGUCACAGACAUCAGCUCACUUACCGGGGUCCUUUGCAGAGGGUGGGUGGGCAAGGAGAUGGGGGACGGGGAGCUUGGAGAAGCCAGGCGGGCGGGAAUCAGAGACUCAGACUCCAGCAAGGGUAAAGAGGAGAAGCCGACGGCACCGUGGUAGCCUCUGCAGUUGACCAGGUUGCUGGGACUGCAGCAGGACCGCAAUGGAGGAGAAUUUUUUCUUUUAUCAUAAAACCUCCACCAGAAUUUCCUCCACAAACUUAUAUUCAUUGUAGCUUAAUUAAAACAAAGUGCAAACACGAAACCAACAUGAGAAUUAAAAAAAUAAUAAUUCAAACAGCAUUUAAAAAUUAUUUUGAAAAAUGUACUCCUGUUAGCAACUGACUCAGCUUUCCCUACACUGCUCGGCUGGAAAGCCAUGCGGGGAAGGACCUGGAUGAACUUCACGGAGCCCAGAGUUUCUGCAAAGUGCAGGGAGAGGGCCACAGCUUCUUGGAGGAGAAAGCUUUUUAAAAACCCAAAGAAAAGGGGAUAUUUCUGCUCUCUGCCUAGGGAGCAAGUAAAACAAACUGAUCUAGCAUCAAGAAAUCAACACACCCCUCCCUGAAAGUUACCUCUCUCCUCUGCUCUGUGGCCGCCGUCCUGCCUGGAUGCCGGCAAGUUGCAGACUGCUGCUGGGGAGGCAGGACCCGAAAUAAGAAGUGUCAGCUGGGUCCCUGCACCGAAAUGAUGCCGGGAGACAACGCUGCAGGCGGCGGCGGGAUGGUCUCUCCCCCUCCCCCCAGUUUAAUUUAAGCCCCUGACACUGCAAGAUGCCCGCUCCUAAAGACACAUCUCCAGACAACCUCCUCCCUCCCCACACUUCCUCACAACCAGGUCCAACGCUUUGCCCCACCUCCCACAUUUUGUUCACCUGAAGAUGCUUUUCUUGCAAAAAAAAAAAAAGACUGGGAUUGCAGAAUUCUUAAUUCCUUCCUUUCCGGGACCACAUUUUGGAGAAGGUGCGACUUGUUCAGAAGUUUGAGAAUUGCAGCCUGAUGCCCAGGAAGGAGCAGAGGCAACGAGUGACCGUCUGCUUGGCUUCAGACAAGUCCACACCAUCACUUUACUAAAAAAGGACAGAGGUAGACCCAGGGUGAAAAGAAUAGGAAAAUUCCUCUCUGUCCGCUGGCAAAUUUUCAACAGUUUGGGGAAAUCUUUAGUUUUGCUUUCCUUCAAGAAAAUCCCAUUUAUAAAAUCUGCAUGCUUAUGAAAUGUACAAGAUGGCCAGAAAGUGUAAAUUUUGUCCUGACGUGUCUGUGAUUCCUAAACUUUUUGCUCCUGCCUCUAUGUGACUUAAUAUCUUUUAAGAUUGAGACAGGGAUUUAAUUAGGAAAAUUCCAGGAGAGAGGAGCGCUUUAAAUUAAAGAUACGGUUAAAAUAGUGCAUCCUAAUAUAAUCCACAAGAGAGAAUGCAGAAUAGAUGAACCAAAAAGUAGAGAGAGUGAGGAGACAAGAAGGUAUUCCCAGAUUUUGAAUUUAACUCAGAGUCUGAGAAAGGACAAUAAAGGAGAAAGUCGGGGCACCGCAACUAAGACUCCUCUUUUAAAUAAAUUGGUCAGAAGGACCAACUGCAUCAAUUUCGUGUACAUUUCAUUACUGAAGUAAGAGCUGCUGUGUGACUUGUUUCUAAACAGACUGGGAGGAAAUACUCUGCUGCCUGCAUCCUGCCUGGGACACGCGCGGCCACGCUGCUGCAGUGCACCACGGCCGACGUGGGCACCGCAUCUUGCCGGCCGCCCUCACCCACCUUCCUCUCUCUCGGGCUUUGGCAGACAGCUGAUUUCAGGGUCUUUCCCUUUCUGAGGAUGAGGCGGAAACCCUGAAGGGCGCGGAGCAGUGCUGCCUGGAGAGAAGCUCUUUAUGGCCAUCUGACUUGGGAGAUUCCCUGCCUCUUAAAUCAUAAAAAGUCCCUCGACCUUUAGAUAGCAAAACAUCUGGGUUGGGACUGGAGAACGUUGAACGCAUCACAGGGGCUUUUCUUUCCGGAUGAGUAAAGCUUUCUGUGAUGACUUCCAUGUGCUUGGCCUUUUCUGCACUGACACAAAACCACCGUCGCCAGGGAGGGGUUCAAGAGGGCGGCUUUUGUCUUCAACAGAAGACAGAGGCUUCUCCUGCCUUGAAGCUGCUCCACUGUUUAUGUUGAUAACUGCGACGAGGGGAGUUCAUUCUGCUCUGAGCAAUGCCGUGAGAGGACACAGGGAAGACAGAGCCGAAUGCAUUUUAUAAUUGGUAAGAACUGUAACCGCGGACCCUCUAGGACCCGUUCAACUGACCCCAUCUUAUCAACAAAGUAAUUAAGAGUUGUCUUUCAGGAAUGGAGAGUCCCUCUCUUGUCCAGUACAGGCCCGUUGAGACCACCAACCCAUUAACUGGGUCUCUGCAAAUGCUCAAUGCGACCUUUGCCAUGUCGAGAAGCUAAAAAUUCCCCCCUCAGAUCAUGGUAAUGCUGCCAUUUCGUGAACAGGCGUCCUGUGAAGAGCCCUGGAGCCCCCUAUGCUUGGCAGACCAUCGAUUACCUCACUCCUCACCUUUAAUCAUCUAUCUCCGCUCUUCAGACAGCCCUGCCCUUCAUCCCAUAAAUUUUGCCCCAAGCCCUGGAUCAGGGAGACAGAUCUGAGAGCAUGCGCCCCUGUCUCCUUGCAGAUGGAUCUGGUGAUAAAGCUGUUUUCUUUUCCCAAAAGCUGAUGCUGUCAUAAUUGGCUUUUUUUACGUGCAUUGGGCAAGAGAACCCCAAUUUUGUGCAGUAACAGAAUCUUUCCACCCAGAACAGUCUCAUUGUUUCUUCCUUCUGCUUCUUCAUCGUCAGCUAUGGGAUGGCAAUCUCCUACCCUCUCAAUCUGCCUCUUGGUAUAUUUAAACAGAACCAUAGAAUGCUCAAAUAUUAGACCUGUGAGCUGACAUAUGCACUCUGUGGAUUUUCUCACUUGUUCAUUGAAAAAGUGUUUACUGAGCACCUACUAAGUGCAGGGCAGUGGAGAGAGACAAACCCUGUCCACACUGGACUAAAGCUACGGCUUGUUAUGUGUCUCUGCCUCGACGCUGGAGGUUUACUGGUUUGAGCUAAGAUUCUUCCCAGAAGAAUGAAAACACUAACUGCAAGAGGGUGACAGGGCACCUUCAGACCCUGGCAGUCAGAUGAAAAGUAUUUUCAGCGCAAGGAAGCCUUCCUGGGGUCCUUGAAAUUACGACCUUGGCCAUAAGCACCUUUCAGUCUGCCCAUGGAACCCACAUCUCUUGGUCUGUGUCCAAAUGUCCCCUUAUCAGAGUCCCUCCCUUCUUAAAAACAGCACACCAGGAGCCAGCCCCAUGCUCUGCUUCAGUGGCUGGGGUUCUCAGGUUCGGAUCCUGGGUGCAGACCUACACCACUCGUCAGCUGUGCUAUGGUGGCAUCCCACAUAGAAAAUAGAGGAAGAUUGGCACAGAUGUUAGCUCAGGGCGAAUCUUCCUCAAGCAAAAAAAGGAGGAGGAUGGGCAGCAGAUGUUAGCUCAGGGUGAAUCUUGCUCAGCAAAAGAAAUGAAAAUGAAAAUGAAAAUAAAAAUAAAAUAAAUAAAUUUAAAAACCUGGCACACAAGUACUAUCUUCCUUGCCUGGCUUUAUCUCUCUUCUGAGCAGGCAUAUCAGCAUCUGAGAUUGUACACUUACUUGUUUAUUUGUUGUUAUUUGUCUCCCUGCUCUGGAAUGCAACCUCCCCCAAAGCGAGGAAUUAGCUGUUUCAUUCACUGCUGUGUCCCCAGCACCAGAACAGGGAGCUAGGCUCCUGCUACCUUUCUGUCCUGUCAUUCUUAGCAUGUGACUUCCAAUCUCACAGUCACCUCAUGAGCCAAG